GCUUCCUUAGCUCAGAGGCCAGAGCAUCGCUCUUGUAAAGCGAGGGUCAUCGGUUCGACUCCGAUAGGAAGCUC
rnacentral:tRNA from 1 species